GACGAACGCUGGCGGCGUGCCUAAUACAUGCAAGUCGAACGCUGAAGGAGGAGCUUGCUCUUCUGGAUGAGUUGCGAUCGGGUGAGUAACGCGUAGGUAACCUGCCUGGUAGCGGGGGAUAACUAUUGGAAACGAUAGCUAAUACCGCAUAAGAGUAGAUGUUGCAUGACAUUUACUUAAAAGGUGCAAUUGCAUCACUACCAGAUGGACCUGCGUUGUAUUAGCUAGUUGGUGGGGUAACGGCUUACCAAGGCGACGAUACAUAGCCGACCUGAGAGGGUGAUCGGCCACACUGGGACUGAGACACGGCCCAGACUCCUACGGGAGGCAGCAGUAGGGAAUCUUCGGCAAUGGACGGAAGUCUGACCGAGCAACGCCGCGUGAGUGAAGAAGGUUUUCGGAUCGUAAAGCUCUGUUGUAAGAGAAGAACGAGUGUGAGAGUGGAAAGUUCACACUGUGACGGUAUCUUACCAGAAAGGGACGGCUAACUACGUG
rnacentral:rRNA from 1 species